UGCCCUGCACCUGCAUUUUCCUGGAAGCCUGCAUGGGCAGGUUGAGGAACAGGCCCAGGAAGUCCUUGGGCUCUGGGUUUCCAGCUGUGACCGUGGCAGUUUCAGCAGGAGUUGGCUACUGUGGCUAGGAGACCAUCACUCGACACACUUCCCCACGUCUUGGGAUUGAGCUAAUGAAGUUUGGUAAUCCUCUGCUUAGGGAGAAGUAUGGGAUUGUAAUGAACUAUAGUUGACUGAAAUGAAGGAGAAUUUUUAAAUGCAAA